CUGGCACUUAGCAGUCAUCUUACCGGACAGUGCUGGACUGUGUAUCUGUUUUCUAACACUGUCUGGUAACGAUGUUUGUUGGGUGACCU
ensembl:miRNA